rnacentral:lncRNA from 1 species
AAAGUGCCCUGUCCAGCCUUCUUUUGCAUGCUUUAUGUGAUUGUUUUAAGAUCUUUUAAGGGGGUUUUGGGGAGUUUAAUAGAGAUGUUCUUGAGUUAGUUUGGUCCCUCAUUUGAGUCCAUCUGUGUAUCUACAGACCAGAGGAACCAAAGAAACCAGCAGUGAGCACUGCACCAGAGUUAACCAAGUUAGACCAGAGUCAGCCAGAGGUGAGUAGAACUCAACUUCAUCUUUAUUUUAAAGAAAUUAAAUGCCUCAAGCAUGUUCAUGCAUCAUGAUGUUUAUAGUAGGGUGAUUGCACUAGUUUCACAAAUAUGGCGCAUUGCAUAAUAUGAUGACUAUGAUGAUGUGGAUGGACCAAAGCGACUCCAAUAGCCCUAAGAUGUUGUAAGACCUGGUCGGGCCAGGCAUACAGAUGUUGUAAGACCUGGCCGGGUCAGGCAUACAGAUGUUGUAAGACUUGGCCGGGCCAGGCAUACGAAAGUUAUAAGACCUGGCUGGGCCAGGCAUACUGACAUUGGAGGGAGUUUUGGUGGUCAUGUCCAUCCGUAAUAUGAAAUGUUUGUGAUGUGAUGCAUUUCAUGAGAGCAUAUAAUGAAUGAACUGUUUUCAGUGUUUCUACUCACUGGGCUUUAUAGCUCACCCCUCUCCCCUAACCUAGUUUUGCAGGUUCAGUGUGCAGGGGAGUCUAGCAGGGUACAAGAAGAGAAAAAGUAAGA